rnacentral:rRNA from 1 species
CACGGGGGGAGCAAGCGUUGUUCGGAAUCACUGGGCGUAAAGGGCGUGUAGGCGGUCAGAUAAGUGGAAUGUGAAAUGCCCCGGCUCACCCGGGGACCGGCAUCCCAAACUGUCUGGCUUGAGUAUGGGAGAGGAUGAGGGAAUUCCUGGUGUAGCGGUGAAAUGCGUAGAUAUCUGGAGGAACACCGGUGGCGAAGGCGGCGUUCUGGACUGCAACUGACACUGAAAGACGAAAGCCAGGGGAGCAAACGGG